rnacentral:lncRNA from 1 species
CUGCACUCCAGCCUGGGUGACAGAGCAAGACUCUGUCUCAAAAAAAAAAAAAAAAAAGUGUAAGUGGAUUAAAAGAGAAACUUGGUCUAGUUCAUAAUAUUUUUAAUAGGGCUUUCCCUGGCUGCUGGAAAACUUAGGCCAGUAAGCAUCUCUUUGUUUAAAGUCCUACAAGACAAUUUGAAAUAAUUCAUUGUUCAUGCCAAAAUUCUAAGUACUGUUUUUCUUAGCAAGUGUAACAUAAUCAGGAACAAUGGGUA